UUUUGAUAACUGUGCGUGACAUAAUCUGAAGAGAAAUAAACUAAAGCAGGACAAAUGAAAAAUAGAAAACGUUACAAAAUAUCUGAUAUGAAAUUUUACUGUAGAGAGGUCUGGGUAACAGAAGUCUUCAGCAGCUUGCCUUCCUUCUUGAAAGCUAGUUUGGCAAAAAUAACAAGAGCCAACCAACUUUUUCUCACUGAAUAGUACAUUUUGAAUGCACAUCCAGUCCAACUCCACCACCUACCUAAAGGUUUCCUAUUUACCACUUGGUUAGGAGAUCAUUAGUACCAAAACAUCUACAUAUGCUAAAGGCAGCAAGACAUUAUCAUUAAAAGUCAUCAACCCUCUAAAGGAUCUGACUUCCCAGGCUCUUUCAUUUGGGGGUUGUAUCAAAUCCAAAUUGAAAUCCAACUCACUGGUCUAUUGUUUAAAAAUUACUAUAUUUCCAACAUUAGCC
rnacentral:lncRNA from 1 species